rnacentral:rRNA from 1 species
GGAAUAUUGCGCAAUGGAGGAAACUCUGACGCAGCCACGCCGCGUGGAGGAAGACACCCCUCUGGGGCGUAAACUCCUUUUGUGCGAGAAGAAGGCCCUGGUCUCCAGGGUUUGACGGUACCGCACGAAUAAGCACCGGCUAACUCCGUGCCAGCAGCCGCGGUAAUACGGAGGGUGCAAGCGUUGUCCGGAUUUACUGGGUGUAAAGGGUGUGUAGGCGGGACUGUAAGUCAGAGGUGAAAUCCCACGGCUCAACCGUGGAACUGCCAUUGAUACUGCAGAUCGUGAGUCUCGGAGGGGUUGCUGGAAUUCGUGGUGUAGCGGUGAAAUGCGUAGAUAUCACGAGGAACACCAGAGGCGUAGGCGGGCAACUGGACGAGUACUGACGCUGAGGCACGAAAGCGUGGGGAGCAAAC